rnacentral:rRNA from 1 species
GAGGCCACAGGCGACGACGGGUAGCCGGCCUGAGAGGGUGACCGGCCACACUGGGACUGAGACACGGCCCAGACUCCUACGGGAGGCAGCAGUGGGGAAUAUUGCACAAUGGGCGAAAGCCUGAUGCAGCGACGCCGCGUGAGGGAUGACGGCCUUCGGGUUGUAAACCUCUUUCAGCAGGGACGAAGCGAAAGUGACGGUACCUGCAGAAGAAGCACCGGCUAACUACGUGCC